AUUGAACGCUAGCGGGAUGCCUUACACAUGCAAGUCGAACGGAGUGGCGGACGGGUGAGUAAUGUAUAGGAACGUGCCCAGUAGCGGGGGAUAACUACACGAAAGCGUAGCUAAUACCGCAUACUAUUGCAGUCGCCGAUAGCGGAGUGGCUAUUGGGUGGGGUAACGGCUAACAAAGGCGACGAUCCGUAGCUGGUUUGAGAGGACGACCAGCCACACUGGGACUGAGACACGGCCCAGACUCCUACGGGAGGCAGCAGUGGGGAAUUUUGGACAAUGGGGGAAACCCUGAUGCAGCCAUCCCGCGUGUGCGAUGAAGGCCUUCGGGUUGUAAAGCACUUUUGGCAGGAAGGCGGUACCUGCAGAAUAAGCACCGGCUAACUACGUGCCAGCAGCCGCGGUAAUUC
rnacentral:rRNA from 1 species